GGUUGCUGCAGGCGGAGGGCGGGGCUCCGCCGGGUCCUGGGUCCUCCGCGUGCGCGCGGCGGGGCCGAGCGGGAAGCCCAGGUGCGGCGAGGUUCACCUGACCGGAGAUGCCGAGCCCACACAAACGCGGAGUCACUCGGCUGGGGUUCCCCGAAGCUCUCGAACUCGUUUCUUUGCUGAGUACUUGGCUGUCGAGUGUGAAUUAACGCUGCCUACUUCGCCCUGGGCGGAGCUCCUUUAGGACGGCCGGUGCCUUAGUCCUUAGUCUCGGCCCGCAGUGCCGUGGGUGUGCCGCCCGUGCUUGUGAACUUCUGGGGUGCCGUGACCCCUGGGGGCCCUCGACGUGGGGGGCAGCGACGACGGAGCCUCUCCAGGCCUCACUCCACCCCAGGACCCGAGGCUGUCCAGCUCAAGAGAACAGGAGACCCCCGGCCCCUUCGGUUUACCGUCAGCAAAACCUCGUCGUGUGAGAGCUGCUGCAGGAGCUCUUCUCCACCCUGCGCUGCUGACACUGACUUUAAAAUGCAAACGUAUGUAUUUCUUCGCACACAUCAUCGUAUUUAAUAUAUGUAGUAACGCCAUAACCCUGUGCAGUAUUUUUUUUCUCUAGGUGGGUACUUUUAAGACCCUCAGUUUCCAUCUCCUAAGGUUCAGAGAGGUUAAAUGCCUUGCUUGAGGUCACACAUCUCAGAUUUGAGCCCAUGUCAUUCGACUCCAGAGGCCAUGGCCUUAUCUGCCACACUAUACUGCCACCCUGUAUUCCUGAAAAUGUGACUUUCCUGGGGUCAUUCAGCCCAGAUGAGAGCCACCCUGAGCACAAGUUAAACUGGUGCUGCUUCCCUGUGCUUACAGCACACAGUUUGGCCAGAGCUUGGGUCUCUUUUCCUUCCUUCCUUCCUUCCUCUCCCCAUCCAUCUCGCACAAGAGUGCUGGUUUUUCUCUGAGGACCAGGCCAUCCCAUAAUCCUCUGAUACUCAGGAUUAACUUGUCUCCGGGGGAAGUGGAUUCCAAGCUUGGGUAACCAUUGCCCCCCACAGAGUGUGUGGGGCGGUGGUCCGCCGUUGCAGGGGCUGGAGGAGGCUGUACUCCUGGCUGCGGGUUCCGUAAUCCUCCCGCCUGCUGGCUGUGAUGCCUUUGGCUUUCAGUCUGCGAGGAGUCACACAGAGCCCGGGGCUGCAGGGAGCAAAAGGCGUCAGACUGACGCAUCAGAAGAGCCAGCUGUUCGGAACUGUGGGACCGCUUUGCCUUAUGGCAGAGAAGAUACAGGGUUUGUGGUUAGAAACCUUUGGUUAGGAGGCUGUGAGUCCUGUCCUUUAAGUGUGGAAGCUGUGACUUUGUUUUUCGAGUGUGUUCCUAGAACCCGAAAGAAGAGACGGCUGCCGAAACCAGGUGGCCUGGGGACUGAAUGGCCCCUUCUCGGGGAGAAAGUCCUGGGAGGCUGAAAGAGCUGCUUUCACUGACAGGCGACCGAUGAGAAGUUGGCUGAGUUGGCUCUGGCGCCGGGCAUCCCAGACGGUGAUGCCUCUUCUCGGCCAGAGUGCGGGCGGAGGUGCUGUGGGUGCGGGUGGGGCCCCUUGGCCCCACGCCUCUUCUGGAGCCCGCCUCAGGCCAGCUCGAGGCUCAGCCUGCCCGCCAGGCCACCCACUCCUUCUCCCGAGAGGCGGGGCAGCACUGUCCUUGUUCCACAGAUGGUGAUGGCGAGUCCCGGAGGAGGAAGCAGCCGGAACCCGUGUCGGGUAAGCGGCCGUCCCGGGGCCCAACCAAGCCCGCUGGCCCGGAGAGCCCGAGCUUUAACCGUGACACCCGCGCGCCUGUUGUGUUUCCCUGGAGCCCCUGGACUUCCCUUUUGAGGCGUUUUGUGAACUCUCUGGUUUCUAA